CGCGUAGGCGGUUUACACAGUCAGAUGUGAAAUUCCUGGGCUUAACCUGGGGGCUGCAUUUGAUACGUGUAGGCUUGAGUAUGGAAGAGGGUCGUGGAAUUCCCAGUGUAGAGGUGAAAUUCGUAGAUAUUGGGAAGAACACCGGCGGCGAAGGCGGCGACCUGGUCCAUAACUGACGCUGAGGCGCGAAAGCGUGGGGAGCAAACAGGAUUAGAUACCCUGGUAGUCCACGCUGUAAACGAUGUGUGCUGGAUGUUGGCCAACCUAGUUGGUCAGUGUCGUAGCUAACGCGGUAAGCACACCGCCUGGGGAGUACGGCCGCAAGGUUGAA
rnacentral:rRNA from 1 species